rnacentral:rRNA from 1 species
GACCAGACUCCUACGGGAGGCAGCAGUGAGGAAUAUUGGUCAAUGGUCGGGAGACUGAACCAGCCAAGCCGCGUGAGGGAUGAAGGUACAGAGUAUCGUAAACCUCUUUUGUCGGAGAACAAAACCCGGGACGUGUCCCGGACUGCGUGUAUCCGAAGAAAAAGCAUUGGCUAACUCCGUGCCAGCAGCCGCGGUAAUACGGAGGAUGCGAGCGUUAUCCGGAUUUAUUGGGUUUAAAGGGUGCGUAGGCGGUCCGUUAAGUCAGCGGUAAAAUUGCGGGGCUCAACCCCGUCGAGCCGUUGAAACUGGCAGUCUCGAGUUGGAGAGAAGUAUGCGGAAUGCGCGGUGUAGCGGUGAAAUGCAUAGAUAUCGCGCAGAACUCCGAUUGCGAAGGCAGCAUGCCGGCUCCACACUGACGCUGAGGCACGAAAGCGUGGGUAUCGAACAGGAUUAGAUACCCGAGUACA